rnacentral:rRNA from 1 species
GGGUUGUGAGGUUAAGCGACUAAGCGUACACGGUGGAUGCCCUGGCAGUCAGAGGCGAUGAAGGGCGUGCUAAUCUGCGAUAAGCGCCGGUAAGGUGAUAUGAACCGUUAUAACCGGCGAUACCCGAAUGGGGAAACCCAGUGUGAUUCGUCACACUAUCAUUAACUGAAUCCAUAGGUUAAUGAGGCGAACCGGGGGAACUGAAACAUCUAAGUACCCCGAGGAAAAGAAAUCAACCGAGAUUCCCCCAGUAGCGGCGAGCGAACGGGGAGGAGCCCAGAGCCUGAAUCAGCAUGUGUGUUAGUGGAAGCGUCUGGAAAGGCGCGCGAUACAGGGUGACAGCCCCGUACACAAAAGCGCAUGUGCUGUGAGCUCGAUGAGUAGGGCGGGACACGUGGUAUCCUGUCUGAAUAUGGGGGGACCAUCCUCCAAGGCUAAAUACUCCUGACUGACCGAUAGUGAACCAGUACCGUGAGGGAAAGGCGAAAAGAACCCCGGCGAGGGGAGUGAAAAAGAACCUGAAACCGUGUACGUACAAGCAGUGGGAGCACAGGUUUACCUGUGUGACUGCGUACCUUUUGUAUAAUGGGUCAGCGACUUAUAUUCUGUAGCAAGGUUAACCGAAUAGGGGAGCCGGAGGGAAACCGAGUCUUAAUUGGGCGUUAAGUUGCAGGGUAUAGACCCGAAACCCGGUGAUCUAGCCAUGGGCAGGUUGAAGGUUGGGUAACACUAACUGGAGGACCGAACCGACUAAUGUUGAAAAAUUAGCGGAUGACCUGUGGCUGGGGGUGAAAGGCCAAUCAAACCGGGAGAUAGCUGGUUCUCCCCGAAAGCUAUUUAGGUAGCGCCUCGUGAAUUCAUCUCCGGGGGUAGAGCACUGUUUCGGCUAGGGGGCCAUCCCGGCUUACCAACCCGAUGCAAACUGCGAAUACCGGAGAAUGUUAUCACGGGAGACACACGGCGGGUGCUAACGUCCGUCGUGAAGAGGGAAACAACCCAGACCGCCAGCUAAGGUCCCAAAGUCAUGGUUAAGUGGGAAACGAUGUGGGAAGGCCCAGACAGCCAGGAUGUUGGCUUAGAAGCAGCCAUCAUUUAAAGAAAGCGUAAUAGCUCACUGGUCGAGUCGGCCUGCGCGGAAGAUGUAACGGGGCUAAACCAUGCACCGAAGCUGCGGCAGCGAACGUAUCACUUAAAGCGAUUCAGCGGGUUACGAUUGACGGAGCGAAGCGACGUCAAAGCGUAUACAAAGUCGAGUCGGUUUAAGGAUACGUUCGUUGGGUAGGGGAGCGUUCUGUAAGCCUGUGAAGGUGGCCUGUGAGGGUUGCUGGAGGUAUCAGAAGUGCGAAUGCUGACAUAAGUAACGAUAAAGCGGGUGAAAAGCCCGCUCGCCGGAAGACCAAGGGUUCCUGUCCAACGUUAAUCGGGGCAGGGUGAGUCGACCCCUAAGGCGAGGCCGAAAGGCGUAGUCGAUGGGAAACAGGUUAAUAUUCCUGUACUUGGUGUUACUGCGAAGGGGGGACGGAGAAGGCUAUGUUGGCCGGGCGACGGUUGUCCCGGUUUAAGCGUGUAGGCUGGUUUUCCAGGCAAAUCCGGAAAAUCAAGGCUGAGGCGUGAUGACGAGGCACUACGGUGCUGAAGCAACAAAUGCCCUGCUUCCAGGAAAAGCCUCUAAGCAUCAGGUAACAUCAAAUCGUACCCCAAACCGACACAGGUGGUCAGGUAGAGAAUACCAAGGCGCUUGAGAGAACUCGGGUGAAGGAACUAGGCAAAAUGGUGCCGUAACUUCGGGAGAAGGCACGCUGACACGUAGGUGAAGUGAUUUACUCAUGGAGCUGAAGUCAGUCGAAGAUACCAGCUGGCUGCAACUGUUUAUUAAAAACACAGCACUGUGCAAACACGAAAGUGGACGUAUACGGUGUGACGCCUGCCCGGUGCCGGAAGGUUAAUUGAUGGGGUCAGCGCAAGCGAAGCUCCUGAUCGAAGCCCCGGUAAACGGCGGCCGUAACUAUAACGGUCCUAAGGUAGCGAAAUUCCUUGUCGGGUAAGUUCCGACCUGCACGAAUGGCGUAAUGAUGGCCAGGCUGUCUCCACCCGAGACUCAGUGAAAUUGAACUCGCUGUGAAGAUGCAGUGUACCCGCGGCAAGACGGAAAGACCCCGUGAACCUUUACUAUAGCUUGACACUGAACAUUGAGCCUUGAUGUGUAGGAUAGGUGGGAGGCUUUGAAGUGUGGACGCCAGUCUGCAUGGAGCCGACCUUGAAAUACCACCCUUUAAUGUUUGAUGUUCUAACGUGGACCCGUAAUCCGGGUUGCGGACAGUGUCUGGUGGGUAGUUUGACUGGGGCGGUCUCCUCCUAAAGAGUAACGGAGGAGCACGAAGGUUGGCUAAUCCUGGUCGGACAUCAGGAGGUUAGUGCAAUGGCAUAAGCCAGCUUGACUGCGAGCGUGACGGCGCGAGCAGGUGCGAAAGCAGGUCAUAGUGAUCCGGUGGUUCUGAAUGGAAGGGCCAUCGCUCAACGGAUAAAAGGUACUCCGGGGAUAACAGGCUGAUACCGCCCAAGAGUUCAUAUCGACGGCGGUGUUUGGCACCUCGAUGUCGGCUCAUCACAUCCUGGGGCUGAAGUAGGUCCCAAGGGUAUGGCUGUUCGCCAUUUAAAGUGGUACGCGAGCUGGGUUUAGAACGUCGUGAGACAGUUCGGUCCCUAUCUGCCGUGGGCGCUGGAGAACUGAGGGGGGCUGCUCCUAGUACGAGAGGACCGGAGUGGACGCAUCACUGGUGUUCGGGUUGUCAUGCCAAUGGCACUGCCCGGUAGCUAAAUGCGGAAAAGAUAAGUGCUGAAAGCAUCUAAGCACGAAACUUGCCCCGAGAUGAGUUCUCCCUGAGACUUUAGGUCUCCUGAAGGAACGUUGAAGACGACGACGUUGAUAGGCCGGGUGUGUAAGCGCAGCGAUGCGUUGAGCUAACCGGUACUAAUGAACCGUGAGGCUUAACCUUACAACGCCGAAG